GUAGUUUAGUCGCCUUUAACCGGCCUUAAAGUGAAGAUCGGAUCGCCGCCGAUUACCGUGCGCGUGCACAAGAAAGAGAGAGUUAGAGCCACCGGCUUACCGUACGGAUCGCGCCGAGAAUGAAAUUCUUUCUUUGCUUGGUAAAAUACAGCAGCAGCAGUUGUAGUAGCAGCAGUCUUUCGUUGUACAACAGUCUCGAUAAUACAAGAAAACGAGUGGAAAGUUUACGGCCAAACGACAGUAGUACCAGUGGCUGCAUCGCCUGAACGAAUUUUUCUCGUCGAUAAACACAACACUACCAUUUUUCACGCGUUCCGUCUGCUACGGGCAUAACGAAGGAAAUCGACGCCGUUUUUUCUUUCAUUCUUUUUCGUCCUUUUUGUUUACGUAUAGUUUGUUGCUCAGUGCCGCGUAAUAGUUCGGUUUCGCGAGGCUCAUCCAUCAUUCGAGACCGGGCCAAACAGAAUCUAUAGACAACGCCAUAUAGAAGAAAAAGAGGCGGGACGCGCCUAAGUUUGUUUUAUUGGUUUAGUUUCUAGCGCGAGACUCGAACUCGCGCCAAAGUGUGUUCCACAGUGGAGGAUACUAUCUCUCUUUUGGGUUACAACGAUAGGUGGCCGACAGGCAAAAUGCCGGUGCCGGUUUGGGACUCCUCUGACCUGGGCCUGUUAGGCGAGCCCCUGGACACUGCGACAGUGGUGUCCGACGACAUAUGGAAAAAGUUCGAUCUUCCGGACUUCCUCUCUAUAGAUCACAGAGUGGACGCCUACACGGAAAUGUAUUGCGAGCGCACCUUCGACGAUGGCAUAUUGUCGGAUCCACAGUACGACAAGACCUGCCUGUCUCGAGAGAUACGUCAUCACGACUGUAUGUGGGCAGGGUUAUGCAUCAGUAAAGAACACAACAGAACGUUGCCUGCGAAAAAGGAGUCGCUAAUACAGAAAAAGGUGCCGGCUGGUCGAAGCCUUUUGAUAUCACGAGCAAAUACCGCUUUUAUAGGGACUUCGUUGGCAGUCAAUCAGCAACAGGCUCAGCAACUGUGCAGUGCAAGAAAUCUGGAGAGCGACGGCGAAUCCACUAGGCCGGAUACACCACAAAGCUCCAGUUCCGAUACAGAAACAGAGGACGAAGGUCCGUUCUUUCGACACGACCAGAUCAACAUACACGAGAAAUUAUCCGAGUGUAUAUCAGCACCAACUACCAAAACUGCACGAGUAAGCCAGAAUAAGCGGAAGACUGGUCGACGUGGCAGAAGAAAAGAGCAGGAUCAGUGUCAAGUGCAUAGAGAGACGAAUAUCAGAAAUACUCUCAGCGACCAUUGCUAUCACUUGAAUCAGUCGUUCAGCAAGAAUUUAGAACACCUUGGAGUGCAGACACCUUCCGAUUCCGAGGAGGAAGAGAUCGAUGUGGUAAGCUUCGACAAACCGUGCAGACCAGCGGUUUUACCAACGAAUCCAAGUUUGGCCGACCAGCAACACUUUCAAUUAACAGUUAACACCGCGUUCAAAGAGAAACCACCAGGUUCGAGACCUCGUGGUCGACCGCCCUCGAAUCCAGCACGGAAAAGAGCUGCCCAGGUCGAGCAAAGGCCAGCGAAACGAGCUCGUCACAGGACCUGUCAGAGGAGAAACAAGGUAGGACGCACCAUGUCGUCUACGUCCGUAUCGUCUUCGUCCGUAUCGUCUUCGUCCGUAUCAUCUUCACCUUCGAUGAGAUCAACCACAUCAAGAAGUUCCUCCGACGAUGAAUUAGACACUGAGAAGAGGAGAGAGCAUAACAACAUGGAACGUCAAAGGCGGAUAGAGUUACGAAAUGCGUUCGAAGAGUUACGCAUUCUCGUGCCAGCUGUUGAGAAAAAGGAGAAGGCACCGAAAGUCGCGAUUCUCAGGCAAGCGUCUGCAUAUCUUGCUUCGUUGACCUCGAAGGAAAUGGGCAAUGCAGCCAAGGUGGCGGAUUUGAGGCGGCAACAGGAGAAACUUCGAGCGUCGCUCAGUUAUCUAAGGAGGAGUCUCGCCAUGACGCGCUAAGGGAGAGACUCUGACCGUGUCGGAUUUACUCCAACACGACAAAGAUAAUACCUUGCUCGGAACGUUGUAGAAUCGAACUUGUUACCCUGGUGGAUCAAUGACAAAUCUUCACUCGGCGUUUCGAUAAAGACCGCCUGCCUUGUCCGUUUCGAUCUGGGUAUUCACUUUCGGUCGCGCGACAGACGAGUGGGAAGAAGGCACUUCAAACAACGUGUUUCGGAGAGUCAGAAGUGCGCUGUUUGAAGAGACAUAGAAGAGCCUGGUCCUGGUCAAGAGAAAAGAGAAAAAAUACUGUGUUGUGGUUCUGUGAUUCACUUGGGCGGAUAUGGGAAAACCGAAUCUUUUAAAAUCUGUUUUACCAUAGAAGAAACAAGUAUAUAUGUGUAUAGACACUUGCGUAAGAACAAAGAGAAAGUUAGGCCGAAGGGAGAAUCGAAGGGUGGAUCAAGGGUGAAUGCGUAUCGAGAACAAAGAAGGAAUACCGUUCGCGUCGAAUCGGCAUCGAGUGCUGGAAGAAAUCGAAAGAACCGACGCAAACAGCUUCGAAAAGAAUAUUUAUACGUAUAGGUAUAUUUAUAGAAAAGAUACUUCGAAUGGCGAGUUAAUAAAGAGAGGCGGAGAAUUGAUCGUAGAUUGCUUUGGCCAAAUUCACGAAGUUAUCUAUGAGAACGCAAAAUUGAGUUUAGCUAGUUUAGAGAGAAAACGUUAUCGACAAUAGAUCUUCAGUUUUUUGUUUUUUUCUCUCUUUUUUUGUUAAUACACAUACAUGUUACAUUAAGAAAAAUUCACGAUUUACGAGGCUGAAUCGUCGCGAAUAGCGUCAAUUCCAUUUUUAAUCCUUCGAAUUCUCGAUCAGUGUCAUCUUAACGCGUUAUAGACUAAGACCGGUUUCCGAGCUGGGGAAUGUUAUAUAUAUUUUAGAGAAAAUGUUUUAAGUUCAUGAAGAUAUUCGAAACGUUCGACGAGAUCGAACGACACCGCAGUCCGCUAUUUAUCACGCAUUUUUUACGCGUUUCUGCACGUUUUGUAUAACACGCUCGUAUACACACGAGCUUUUCUUUUUCACGUAAAACAUGCAUUUAGGCGAGUCGAGACAAAUCCGACGAGAGAAAGCCAAAAAUGAACAAGACUCUACGAUUGUUAUUAAUAAUAGUCUCGACUGUAUUGGAUUUGGAAUCGGCCUCGAAUCGUUCGAUAUCUCGUCGUUGUUUGGAAUUUCGUUCUGCGAUGCGAAAUCCAUGUACGACGGAGGAAAACGAGGCUUAUUAUCGAACGUUAUCCGACGUUAGUUGCACCGGUUCCGAACUAACUGGUCUUAGGACGCAUUUCAAAGCUGAACCGGUUUCUAGGUAUAUCUUUCAUUUUUAGGAAAUGAACGAGAAAAAGAAUAAUAUAGAAAAGAAAGAAGAGUGGGAAGCACACGCAGAUUCUUUUUCCAAAACUCGUAUCGAUAAAUCGCAAUAAAGAUACGAAAGAAAUAGCUGCUCGUGAUGCUGCUUGCUUUUUACAUCAGCGAUUUUGUAUGAAAUAGUCGAGAUAAACCUGUAGUUUGACAGGUUGCCAUUUAAACUUGUACAAGAUAUUCGCCUUAUAAUUACGGUACUGGUAUUGUCAUUCGAUCGAAACGAAAUUCGUACAGAUUCACGCAUUAUCGUACGAGUUUUGGUAAUUGAACGAGUGCAAGGCACGAAUUACGCGUGUGACUUCAGAACUGUUAUAUUCCUCGCAAUCCUCGCAAUUUCACGUAAUUUGAAAGAUUUCAAGGUAGAAAUUAUAGCAAGUCUCAUUAAUAUUAUCUCAUAUGAUCGAGCAAAACCGUCGAGAUCCCGAAAUCCCGAUGAACGUGUUCCAAAGAGAGGCGUGUUUCGCGUUACGGGUAGGAAACGCGUGUUCGACAAUGCCAUUCAACAUGGAAAAAGAAAAACCAUAGAUGACUGGUCUGUUAACAAUACCUAUUCACAAAUAUCUUCCUUAUCGAAUUCCAUUGUUUUCUCCAUUGCAAUCUCGCGUUGUUUUUUUUUUUUUUUUUUAACAGCGUCGCUAAUAGUAGUUACUUACCGAUCGAUUGAUGAUCGCUGUGCGAUCUUUACGUUUUUCGACGUUUCACGCCUUCGCUAGCAUGAAUCUAAACGCGUUCUAUAGUAGAGUGAUUGUAUUCUGGUAAUCUUGCAAGUAGGUGAAAGAUCGUAUGAGUCACAAAACGUGUAGGUAGAGACAGUUUGCACCUAGUACAUACGCGUUAUGUAUGUACCGUAGGGCACAGAGAGAAAGUCAUAGACAUACACGCAUACUACAAAGAGAUAAUAUUAGAAAUUUAGUCCGGGUACCUUACACACACACACAUAUAUUCCGUUUUUGUUACGAAUACAUCAGAUGCAUCUUCAUUUCGGAUCAUUUCGGUACGCGUAACGAUAUUAGCGAAAUUCGGGUUUGGAGUCGAAGUCCUGUCUGUCUUUUGUCUACCUUCUUCCUCGUUCUUCUAAUCCGGUUAUGGCGCAAAACGGAUACAAACGCGACAAAAAUCUCGUAAAUGGUAGUUUUCAUUCUUUUCUUCGCGCCUCUGUUUCCUUCUUUCCGCCGAUAUUUCGCGCAGAUAAAUACGCCACGAAGAUCGACGAAGCACACCGAUCUUCGUGGAUGAGCGCCUAUUCACGUGUGUUCAGUUUUUAUAUGCGAGUGUGUAGAACUCUUUAAACUGGUGCAAUAAGAGACACGAAAGAAUAUUACCUUCGUGGUAGAUCGUUAUUUUGUUGUUAAACGAUCAUCGGUAUCUAGCUUAUCCAAGAAAGAAGUAGACAGGGCGCUGAAAACUCGAGACUAAGGAUCGAAUUGUUCACUUUCUUAUUUUCUAUCAUUUCUCGUUUUUAUAAUACAAACGAUCGAUCCGAUAUCUGUGCUCGGUUUCGAAGCUUUUCUACGGCUGAGAAACGUCGAGUUGGAAAGGAAGAGACGUCAGAUCUCGCGCUACCAAGAGAUUGUAAAGGUUGAAGAGAAAACUAACCUCGAUUAGCAUGUUUUCAUUUUUUUUUGUAUUUAGGACUUUUUGUUUUCCUUCGUACACGGUACACGUUCGUUAAGGUGGAUGCUGAACGGCAACACACGGUUUUAUAACAAGAAGGAAAUCUUUUUUAUCUGAUUAAGAUUCGUGCGGAAUACGCUUUUUAAACGCGUGUAAAUAAUGUACAUACAUAUAUAGGACAAUAUAUAAACAUGCAUAAAUAAUACAUAGCCAUGUAUGCAUGUACAUUGCAAAUUAUAGACGCUGAAGCGUGUAAGUAUGUAAGGG